GUAGCUAUAGUUUAACUAAAACAUUAGAUUGUGAAUCUAAUAAUAGAAGUUCACAACUUCUUAUCUACC
rnacentral:tRNA from 7 species